rnacentral:rRNA from 1 species
GAUGAACGCUGGCGGCGUGCCUAAUACAUGCAAGUCGAGCGAACAGACGAGGAGCUUGCUCCUCUGACGUUAGCGGCGGACGGGUGAGUAACACGUGGAUAACCUACCUAUAAGACUGGGAUAACUUCGGGAAACCGGAGCUAAUACCGGAUAAUAUAUUGAACCGCAUGGUUCAAUAGUGAAAGACGGUUUUGCUGUCACUUAUAGAUGGAUCCGCGCCGCAUUAGCUAGUUGGUAAGGUAACGGCUUACCAAGGCGACGAUGCGUAGCCGACCUGAGAGGGUGAUCGGCCACACUGGAACUGAGACACGGUCCAGACUCCUACGGGAGGCAGCAGUAGAGAAUCUUCCGCGAUGGGCGAGAGCCUGACGGAGCAAAGCCGCGUGAGUGAUGAAGGUCUCCGGAUCGUAAAACUCUGUGAUUAGGGAAGAACAAAUGUGUAAGUAACUAUGCACGUCUUGACGGUACCUAAUCAGAAAGCCACGGCUAACUACGUG